UCUGACCUGUGUACCAUUGUUGGGGGACACUCCAUGUUUAUAUUCCAUAGGGAGUCAUUCAUGUUUAUGGGGAGUCUGACCUGUGUACCAUUCUUGGGGGACACUCCAUGUUUAUGUUCCAUAGGGAGUCAUUUGUUUGCGUCGGGAGUCUCACCUGCUGCUGUGUGUUUGGCCGGAUUCCUGACACAUUUUGUUUCCUCUUGCUACUAAAGGUGCUCAUCGUGGGAGGUCCUAAACCUGGUGAUUGGGGUUUUAUAAGGAUUUUCUCCGUUAGAGCUAAAGUACUGAGAAAUGUUAACAUGGUCAAUUGUCAAAGUGCUUUGGGUUGUAUAUUAAAUAGCCAUUGAUUCUGGAAUACAAGGACGGGUUUGUAAUAAAAUGAGAUGUUGUAGAA